UACGAAGGGGGCUAGCGUUGCUCGGAAUCACUGAGCGUAAAGGGUGCGUAGGCGGGUCUUUAAGUCAGGGGGGAAAUCCUGGAGCUCAACUCCAGAACUGCCUUUGAUACUGAGGAUCUUGAGUUCGGGAGAGGUGAGUGGAACUGCGAGUGUAGAGGUGAAAUUCGUAGAUAUUCGCAAGAACACCAGUGGCGAAGGCGGCUCACUGGCCCGAUACUGACGCUGAGGCACGAAAGCGUGGGGAGCAAACAGG
rnacentral:rRNA from 1 species